rnacentral:rRNA from 1 species
GAGUUUGAUCCUGGCUCAGGACGAACGCUGGCGGCGCGCCUAACACAUGCAAGUCGAACGAGCGAGAGAGAGCUUGCUUUCUCGAGCGAGUGGCGAACGGGUGAGUAACGCGUGAGGAACCUGCCUCAAAGAGGGGGACAACAGUUGGAAACGACUGCUAAUACCGCAUAAGCCCACGGUGCCGCAUGGCACAGAGGGAAAAGGAGCAAUCCGCUUUGAGAUGGCCUCGCGUCCGAUUAGCUAGUUGGUGAGGUAAUGGCCCACCAAGGCGACGAUCGGUAGCCGGACUGAGAGGUUGAACGGCUACAUUGGGACUGAGACACGGCCCAGACUCCUACGGGAGGCAGCAGUGGGGAAUAUUGCACAAUGGGGGAAACCCUGAUGCAGCGACGCCGCGUGGAGGAAGAAGGUCUUCGGAUUGUAAACUCCUGUUGUUGAGGAAGAUAAUGACGGUACUCAACAAGGAAGUGACGGCUAACUGCGUGCCAGCAGCCGCGGUAAAACGUAGGUCACAAGCGUUGUCCGGAAUUACUGGGUGUAAAGGGAGCGCAGGCGGGAAGACAAGUUGGAAGUGAAAUCUAUGGGCUCAAUCCAUAAACUGCUUUCAAAACUGUUUUUCUUGAGUAGUGCAGAGGUAGGCGGAAUUCCCGGUGUACCGGUGGAAUGCGUAGAUAUCGGGAGGAACACCAGUGGCGAAGGCGGCCUACUGGGCACCAACUGACGCUGAGGCUCGAAAGUGUGGGUAGCAAACAGGAUUAGAUACCCUGUAGGUCCACACCGUAAACGAUGAUUACUAGGUGUUGGAGGAUUGACCCCUUCAGUGCCGCAGUUAACACAAUAAGUAAUCCACCUGGGGAGUACGACCGCAAGGUUGAAACUCAAAGGAAUUGACGGGGGCCCGCACAAGCAGUGGAGUAUGUGGUUUAAUUCGACGCAACGCGAAGAACCUUACCAAGUCUUGACAUCCCUUGACGAUGCUGGAAACAGUAUUUCUCUUCGGAGCAAGGAGACAGGUGGUGCAUGGUCGUCGUCAGCUCGUGUCGUGAGAUGCUCGGUUAAGUCCCGCAACGAGCGCAACCCUUAUGGUCAGUUACUACGCAAGAGGACUCUGGCCAGACUGCCGUUGACAAAACGGGGGAAGGUGGGGAUGACGUCAAAUCAUCAUGCCCUUUAUGACUUGGGCUACACACGUACUACAAUGGCGUUAAACAAAGAGAAGCAAGACCGCGAGGUGGAGCAAAACUCAGAACCAACGUCCCAGUUCGGACUGCAGGCUGCAACUCGCCUGCACGAAGUCGGAAUUGCUAGUAAUCGCAGAUCAGCAUGCUGCGGUGAAUACGUUCCCGGGCCUUGUACACACCGCCCGUC